UUUGUGGAUAUUCUGCCUUUGCUAUUGCCUUUUUAUCUCCAAGAAAUCCUGAUGUCAAAGAAAAAUAAAGGAAAACUACUGCCCUCGCUCAAAUUAAACACAAUUCUACCAACACAUGAUAAAGGGAGCAGGAAAGGUCCAGCUACAGUCUGAAGCAUGCAAUUUAGGAACACAAGGCACAGAAGCAGAAGGAAUAGGGCUUCUAUGGGCUAGCUCAGCUCCCCACCGUGACUUUAUAAUUGGAGUUUGUGAAUGGUUAUCACCAUCUGAGGGACUGGCCAACAUGGCUGUUUUAACUCCUAAAGACUUUCAUCAGCUAAAGAGAAUGUGAACAACAGAUACUCUUAAAAUGAAACCUUUACUUAAUACUUAACAUUUCAUAGUAUUUAACUGAUUUUUCUGCUGUGUAUUUAAUGAAGGGUUAAAAAGAUUUUAAUAAUGCAUUUACCAUGAUACUAAGCAGGUUUAGAUCUCUGUAUACUGAGCCUUGUUUAAAUCUGUUUAAUGUUGGACAGGGCAGUGAGCAUAUAUUCCAUCUGUAUUAUCACAACAGAACCUUUUGACUUUAUCAGUUUUGAUGUAAAGUUACCUCAGUUGUCACCAAAAAGUUGAGAGGCCAAAUACUGCAUGAAC